rnacentral:rRNA from 1 species
GAUGAACGCUGGCGGCGUGCCUAAUACAUGCAAGUCGAGCGAACAGAUGAGGAGCUUGCUCCUCUGACGUUAGCGGCGGACGGGUGAGUAACACGUGGAUAACCUACCUAUAAGACUGGGAUAACUUCGGGAAACCGGAGCUAAUACCGGAUAAUAUAUUGAACCGCAUGGUUCAAUAGUGAAAGACGGUUUUGCUGUCACUUAUAGAUGGAUCCGCGCCGCAUUAGCUAGUUGGUAAGGUAACGGCUUACCAAGGCAACGAUGCGUAGCCGACCUGAGAGGGUGAUCGGCCACACUGAAACUGAGACACGGUCCAGACUCCUACGGGAGGCAGCAGUAGGGAAUCUUCCGCAAUGGGCGAAAGCCUGACGGAGCAACGCCGCGUGAGUGAUGAAGGUCUUCGGAUCGUAAAACUCUGUUAUUGGGGAAGAACAAAUGUGUAAGUAACUAUGCACGUCUUGACGGUACCUAAUCAGAAAGCCACGGCUAACUACGUG